ACGAACGCUGGCGGCGGGCUUAACACAUGCAAGUCGUACGGCGUCCUUCGGGACGCAGUGGCGCACGGGUGCGUAACGCGUAGGCAACCUGCCCCAGAGUGGGGAAUAACCCCGGGAAACCGGGGCUAAUACCGCAUAUCGAGCGGGAGCGGCAUCGCUCCGGUUUGAAAGCCUUCGGGCGCUCUGGGAUGGGCCUGCGUUGGAUUAGCUUGUUGGUGCGGUAACGGCGCACCAAGGCUGCGAUCCAUAGCUGGUCUGAGAGGAUGAUCAGCCACACUGGCACUGAGACACGGGCCAGACUCCUACGGGAGGCAGCAGUGAGGAAUCUUGCGCAAUGGGGGCAACCCUGACGCAGCCACGCCGCGUGGAGGACGACACCCCUAUGGGGCGUAAACUCCUUUUCUGCGGGAAGAACGCCGGCCUCGGGCCGGGAUGACGGUACCGCAGGAAUAAGCACCGGCUAACUCCGUGCCAGCAGCCGCGGUAAUACGGAGGGUGCAAGCGUUGUCCGGAUUUAUUGGGUGUAAAGGGUGUGUAGGCGGGGCCGUAAGUCAGGGGUGAAAGGCCGCAGCUCAACUGCGGGACUGCCUUUGAUACUGCGGUCCUUGAGUGUCGGAGGGGCCACUAGAAUUCGUGGUGUAGCGGUGAAAUGCGUAGAUAUCACGAGGAAUACCAGAGGCGUAGGCGGGUGGCUGGACGACAACUGACGCUGAGGCACGAAAGCGUGGGGAGCGAACAGGACUAGAUACCCUGGUAGUCACGCCGUAAACGAUGGACGCUCGGUGUCGGGCCUUUUGGCUCGGUGCCUAAGCAAACGCGAUAAGCGUCCCACCUGGGGAGUACGCUCGCAAGAGUGAAACUCAAAGGAAUUGACGGGGGCCCGCACAAGCGGUGGAGCAUGUGGCUUAAUUCGAUGCAACGCGAAGAACCUUACCCGGGCUCGAACGCCAGAGGACAGCCCCUGAAAGGGGGUCUCCCGAAAGGGCCUUUGGCGAGGUGCUGCAUGGCUGUCGUCAGUUCGUGUCGUGAGAUGUUGGGUUAAGUCCCGCAACGAACGCAACCCCUACUCUUAGUUACCAGCGGGUCAUGCCGGGGACUCUAAGAGGACUGCCUGCGCAAGCAGUGAGGAAGGCGGGGAUGACGUCAAGUCAUCAUGGCCCUUACGCCCGGGGCUGCACACGUGCUACAAUGGACGGUACAGAGGGGCGCCACCCCGCGAGGGGGCGCCAAUCUUCAAAGCCGUUCUCAGUUCGGAUCGGAGUCUGCAACUCGACUCCGUGAAACCGGAAUCGCUAGUAAUCGCGGAUCAGCUACGCCGCGGUGAAUACGUUCCCGGGCCUUGUACACACCGCCCGUCAAGCCAUGGAAGCCGGGGGCACCCGAAGUCCGCGAGCCGACCCGCAAGGGAGGCAGCGGCCGAAGGUGAACUCGGUGACUGGGGC
rnacentral:rRNA from 1 species